UACGUAGGGGGCAAGCGUUAUCCGGAUUUACUGGGUGUAAAGGGAGCGUAGACGGCGGUGCAAGCCAGAUGUGAAAGCCCGGGGCCCAACCCCGGGACUGCACUGGAAACUGCCGGGCUGGAGUGUCGGAGGGGCAGGCGGAAUUCCUAGUGUAGCGGUGAAAUGCGUAGAUAUUAGGAGGAACACCAGUGGCGGAGGCGGCUUACUGGACGGUAACUGACGCUGAGGCUCGAAAGCGUGGGGAGCAAACAGG
rnacentral:rRNA from 1 species